ACCGGGAGAACUGAAACAUCUAAGUACCCCGAGGAAAAGAAAUCAACCGAGAUUCCCCCAGUAGCGGCGAGCGAACGGGGAGCAGCCCAGAGUCUGAAUCAGCGUGUGUGUUAGUGGAACGGUCUGGAAAGUCCGGCGAUACAGGGUGACAGCCCCGUACACGAAAGCACACAGGCUGUGAACUCGAAGAGUAGGGCGGGACACGUGGUAUCCUGUCUGAAUAUGGGGGGACCAUCCUCCAAGGCUAAAUACUCCUGACUGACCGAUAGUGAACCAGUACCGUGAGGGAAAGGCGAAAAGAACCCCGGCGAGGGGAGUGAAAAAGAACCUGAAACCGUGUACGUACAAGCAGUGGGAGCACCCUUCGGGGUGUGACUGCGUACCUUUUGUAUAAUGGGUCAGCGACUUAUAUUCUGUAGCAAGGUUAACCGAAUAGGGGAGCCGAAGGGAAACCGAGUCUUAACUGGGCGUUAAGUUGCAGGGUAUAGACCCGAAACCCGGUGAUCUAGCCAUGGGCAGGUUGAAGGUUGGGUAACACUAACUGGAGGACCGAACCGACUAAUGUUGAAAAAUUAGCGGAUGACCUGUGGCUGGGGGUGAAAGGCCAAUCAAACCGGGAGAUAGCUGGUUCUCCCCGAAAGCUAUUUAGGUAGCGCCUCGUGAACUCAUCUUCGGGGGUAGAGCACUGUUUCGGCUAGGGGGUCAUCCCGACUUACCAACCCGAUGCAAACUGCGAAUACCGAAGAAUGUUAUCACGGGAGACACACGGCGGGUGCUAACGUCCGUCGUGAAGAGGGAAACAACCCAGACCGCCAGCUAAGGUCCCAAAGUCAUGGUUAAGUGGGAAACGAUGUGGGAAGGCCCAGACAGCCAGGAUGUUGGCUUAGAAGCAGCCAUCAUUUAAAGAAAGCGUAAUAGCUCACUGGUCGAGUCGGCCUGCGCGGAAGAUGUAACGGGGCUAAACCA
rnacentral:rRNA from 1 species